AUGCGCUCGAUCCCCUCUCACGCUAGGGUUCGUACAGGUUGCGCCCACAGCUCGGCUCGGCCUCCUCCUUCCCUUCCCUCCCCCCACCUUCAGCCACACCCGUCCGACCACCUGCCGGAUCCCGCGCCGCCACGCCUGCAUCGCUCUGGUCUUCUCCCACAACUCGCGCAUCGCAACGGGGCUCGCGCCCGCGCGGUCUCCUCCAUGACCUCUCUCCCUUGCGGCGGCGGCGGCACAAAUGACGCAUCCGACGGUGAGCUCCACAGGUCAACGCAUCCUCUCUUCUCUCCCAUGGAAGUCCCUCCCCUCUCACAUCUCUCUCUGUCUGCGAGCGGUGGCGGCCGGCUACGCGAGAGGUCGAUCUGGUCACGCCUUCCCACCAUCGACCGCGCCGCGUCGCUAUCGGAGGGGCACCCUGCCGCUGUCGGGGACUCGCCGUCAUUGAAGCCGCCGCUCUUCUGUCUCUCCCUGCUCGCCUCCCACAAUCUUCGUCCAAUAGGAGCGCGCAUGGCGAAACCGUUGGAUUGA
rnacentral:rRNA from 1 species